GACGAACGCUGGCGGCGUGCUUAACACAUGCAAGUCGAACGGAAAGGCCCUGCUUGCAGGGUACUCGAGUGGCGAACGGGUGAGUAACACGUGGGUGAUCUGCCCUUCACUUCGGGAUAAGCCUGGGAAACUGGGUCUAAUACCGGAUAGGAGCCAUUUUUAGUGUGAUGGUUGGAAAGUUUUUUCGGUGUAGGAUGAGCUCGCGGCCUAUCAGCUUGUUGGUGGGGUAAUGGCCUACCAAGGCGGCGACGGGUAGCCGGCCUGAGAGGGUGGACGGCCACAUUGGGACUGAGAUACGGCCCAGACUCCUACGGGAGGCAGCAGUGGGGAAUAUUGCACAAUGGGCGCAAGCCUGAUGCAGCGACGCCGCGUGGGGGAUGACGGCCUUCGGGUUGUAAACUCCUUUCGCUAGGGACGAAGCUUUUUGUGACGGUACCUAGAUAAGAAGCACCGGCUAACUACGUG
rnacentral:rRNA from 1 species